GCGUUCGAGUGGUGGACUGCUCAGUCCGACUGAGCAGGUUAGUGUGCUCAGGCCCAUUAUGAGGUCGUUCUAUUGGUUCCGUUCUGUUGAUGCCUGUGUUGUUGUUGUUGCUAUACAGCAGAGGUGGGCACCCACACUAUCACACACAUGCGCUUGUGUACGAAGCAGCGAAGUUUUGCUCAACAGCCAGUGCUCGGAUGUUCCCAUAUUUGUGGAAUAGAUAACACUUUUUUUUGCAAAAUUACAUUUCUACUACUUCUACCACCAAAACAACAUUGCUUGCUGCGACGUCGACACAUGGAUGACAUGAUCAACUUCGUGCGUCUUACGAUAAUUGACGAUUGACUGAUUGGUAGCACUUCGGCAAAGCAAAUCAAAUCAGUUGCUGCUGAGACUUCACUGUGCAACUAUUCGAAUAAUGCAAAAUGUUUCGGGAGGAAUGGGAAAUACAUUUUUUUCAUAGAAAACAUGGAUUGGUGUGCGAAAUGCGUGAUUUGCUUUCGCGUUAUGAGUCGCAAUGUUAUGUCUUGUUUAAAAAGACAUUACAAACUGUGUCAUAGUCAUUUUGAAAAGG